rnacentral:rRNA from 1 species
AUUGAACGCUGGCGGCAGGCCUAACACAUGCAAGUCGAGCGGAUGAAGGGAGCUUGCUCCUGGAUUCAGCGGCGGACGGGUGAGUAAUGCCUAGGAAUCUGCCUGGUCGUGGGGGAUAACGUCCGGAAACGGGCGCUAAUACCGCAUACGUCCUGAGGGAGAAAGUGGGGGAUCUUCGGACCUCACGCUAUCAGAUGAGCCUAGGUCGGAUUAGCUAGUUGGUGGGGUAAAGGCCUACCAAGGCGACGAUCCGUAACUGGUCUGAGAGGAUGAUCAGUCACACUGGAACUGAGACACGGCCCAGACUCCUACGGGAGGCAGCAGUGGGGAAUAUUGGACAAUGGGCGAAAGCCUGAUCCAGCCAUGCCGCGUGUGUGAAGAAGGUCUUCGGAUUGUAAAGCACUUUAAGUUGGGAGGAAGGGCAGUAAGUUAAUACCUUGCUGUUUUGACGUUACCAACAGAAUAAGCACCGGCUAACUUCGUG